AACAGGGAUUGCCCUAGUACGGCGAGUGAAGCGGCAACAGCUCAAAUUUGAAAUCUGGCUUCGGCCCGAGUUGUAAUUUGCAGAGGAUGUUUCUGGCGCGGUGCCUUCCGAGUUCCCUGGAACGGGACGCCACAGAGGGUGAGAGCCCCGUAUGGUUGGACACCAAGCCUGUGUGAAGCUCCUUCGACGAGUCGAGUAGUUUGGGAAUGCUGCUCAAAAUGGGAGGUAAAUCUCUUCUAAAGCUAAAUACCGGCCAGAGACCGAUAGCGCACAAGUAGAGUGAUCGAAAGAUGAAAAGCACCUUGAAAAGGGGGUUAAACAGUACGUGAAAUUGUUGAAAGGGAAGCGCUUGUGACCAGACUUGCGCCGGGCGGCUCAUCCGGGGUUCUCCCCGGUGCACUCCGCCCGGUUCAGGCCAGCAUCGGUUCUCGUUGGGGGAUAAGAACGGCAGGAACGUGGCCCUCCUUCGGGAGGGUGUUAUAGCCUGCCGUACGAUACCCUGAUGGGGACCGAGGUUCGCGCUCCGCAAGGAUGCUGGCGUAAUGGUCAUCAGCGACCCGUCUUGAAACACGGACCAAGGAGUCGUCCAUUAGAGCGAGCGUUUGGGUGUCAAACCCGCACGCGUAAUGAAAGUGAAAUUAGGUGAGAGCUUCGGCGCAUCAUCGACCGAUCCUGAUGUUCUCGGAUGGAUUUGAGU
rnacentral:rRNA from 1 species